AAUUCUAUUCUUAACAAGGUUACUCAAAAUUUUCAUUGCUAAUUGAGUCCAGUUUGGUGGUAGUGGAAAAGCCAUAGGUAAUAAUGAAACAAUAGUUAUGACCAAGGGAAUUUUCAUCUGGACAUAGGUUGAUCUGAACAGGGCAGCUCCAGUCUGAGGUUAUUAGGGGUAAGGAAAGAUGGGUAUUUAAUUGAUUUAAUUAUAAAGUAUGCUUUGGAACUUUGGCAGUAAUUUUUAUAUAUAUAUAUAAAAGCAGUUCUUGGAAUAGGACAAUAUACUGAGACUUUUAUAGUUAAAUUCUGUAUACAGUUAAAUUAGUGUCCAUUCUUGGAAGGAAAUAAAAUUAGUCUAGUCUAGUUCUAAAUGACUUCUUUUUCUUAAACAGUAUAUAUGAUGGUGUGAGGCUUGCUCAGGUUUGCUUUCCUAUGUCAUAAUGGUAUCUGUUUCAUUGAAUUGCAAGGUAAAGAGAUUCCUUGGUCAUGUCAGUGCUUCAUCCCUGGGCAUACAUUUGAGACUAAAUUAUUUGUUAAAUAUUUAUUUGAGGAUUAACUUGGAACCAAAACUUCUGUUGCCCUUAGUUAUAUUGUAUCUAAUUACAAAGCGAAAUCUAAAAAUUUUCAUCUAGGCUUCAAAUGAGUAGCAUUCAAUACACUCCUGAGUGUAAGUAGCAACACUUAGUAACACGAAAGAUUUUGCUCUGUAACUAGCUAAUUUCUUCUUGGGUGUGAAUAAAUACUUGCAUUGAGCAUCUUCUGUAAGUUAUUUAAGCUUUUAGAGUAUAAUUGGCACAUCUUGUUGAUCAAAGUUCAUGCUUAGCUGAUUCCCGUCUUCCUUAUGGAUUUGCAAUGAAGAAAUUGCAGGCAUGGAGAUUAGCAACAGAGUUGACUUUGCAACCACCAUUGCCGGCCUGCUGUCAGCAAGUUUCUGCUUUAUGUGAUCACCUACUUCAACGCAAAUUCAGAGUCCCAGUGCAGAAGAAUGGGAGUGUGAUGUGAGGAAGAGGGCAUGAGACCCUGCUGUGGAGCACAAGCAGAAACAUCUACACAGUGAUCCACAAAGGUAUAAACAAAUUAGAAGAUAAAUGUAUGUGUUUGUAUUAUCAUGAGACUCAGUAUUCAUUUUGAUCAUAUGAAUUGAUCUAGUGUCAAGCUGCAGAAGUCUAACAGUGUGAAGAUGGCAUUUACAGCAAUGCAGGUAACACCUGAGUGGCUACCAGUCUCAUUUUGUAAGGUAAUUUAAUCUCUGAUCCUUCACUCAUUUUUAUUCUCUCUGCCUAAAAUAAACAAGCUUGGGCAUGUUUAUACGUACUUACAGUCAUCCUAUAUUUUUUGUGUAGAUUUUUUUUCUUACUCCUCUGGAAGCAAUCUGGAGAUUAUUGAAUUUCCUUUUGGAGAAAGCACAUAAGAAUCAAUGUAAGGGUUCAUAUGAACUUUUCAGGUGCUGUUUUCCCCUAAAGUUGUCAGAAGAGCACUGUUUGCUGUAGGUAAGUAAGUAAGAUCACUUGUAGCAACUGCUUUUUAGGCAAUUCCAGUUUUGGGGCUUAAAUCUUCUGUUGAUUUUUCCUGACAAAAAAGCUUUAAGACUGAAUGCUGUUUGGAUACCAUUCCUUCUGUUGUACGUUACAGUGUGGACAUAAUGUCCCUCUUGUGAACGGUGUUCUCACCAGGUUCCAGCAUAAACCGGAAGCUCUCUUCAGGCGGGUGCCUGAAGUUCCGUUGAAAUGGUCGAUUAGGGGAAGAAAGGGAUGGAGAGUUGUUGAGCUUGUUGCAGGACUCUGUAUGCUUCUCUUAAAACCACUUUUGUGUUAAGUGUUCUUGAAAGUUUCUCUCUAACUGGGCUGAUGCUAGGUAGCAUCUAUGUCAAUGCUUUGUUUUGCUCUACGGAUGCUCUUGAAUAGUAGUUUGCCAGGAGAUGGCAGUGAAUUACCAGUUUGUACAGCAUGACGCGCAGACAGAAUAGCAAAGUGUCAGGCUGCCCCUGUAAGGUCAAGUGUGUGUAGGGUGUCCUAUGGUGUUCAGCAGACCUUAACAGACUUGGAAGAUCUAAUGUUCUGUAGUGUUAAUGAAUGUGCUUUUAGCUGUAAAUGGCUAUUUUAGUUAGCUGAUAGACAUGUAAAACACCUGUGCAGUGGCUUCCUGAAGAGUCUCAGCUCACCUGAGGCAGUUAGGACCUUGCCAUUUGACUUCCUUUCACUGUGUUCCUUCCUAAUGAUUGCAAGGUAAUUGCAGGGACUGCAGGACAGAUCCCUCUGAGUGCCCUAUGUUGUUGCUCUUCAGGGAAUCAAAGAUCUCAGACUGCUUCUCUCUCCAGACGAGGCCCACAGUAAAGGUGUAUUUCAGAAGAAUGUUUUUCAUGAGUAACAGGUAUAUUUUUGAGAUACAUCAUAGAGCAGAUAAAUACUUAGGCAUAAGAUGGGCUGCUUGUUAAACGGUGAAAGAUGCAUACACAAAAAAACUUGGUGACCAGAUGUGGUGUAAUGUACUUUAGCUAAAGCUCAUCCCAGCAGUCAGUUGCAGGACAAAUCUGUAUAAAACUGUCUUAUUAGUUAGUGUUUUCAUUUAAAGGCUCAUGAAGUCAGGUGUCCUUUAGAGCUGCGAGAUACUUGCCAAGAACCUCACUAAUGGUGCCAGUUGCAAUUUGGGCUUGCAGUGUUUUUGCCUGUCUCUCACAUGGGUCAUCAUGCAGCUUAUGUUUUGACUUAUUUUUUAACAGGUUUCUAUUUUUCUUAGCAAAACAGAAGAUUCUCCCAUAGCCUGAAAGUGCUUGCCAAUGUUCAUGGUUUGGAAGUGGAUUGCAAGGAAUAACCUGCAGAUAGGCCAUAGUAUUUUCCUUUUGUGUGGUUUAUUGUUUAUUUUUUUAUUCUUUCCUCUUGCAUAGGUUAGGGAUAGGGGAUUUCAUCUCAUUUUUUUUCCAGUGUGUGAAAUGAAAGUGUACAGUACUGGCAGGGAAGCAGGUAUCUGCCUGGAGGAAAUAGAGGGUGAGAGUUAUUUUUACUUUUACCUCCUUCUGUUACAGUUUAAAUACUUGGACUUUAUUACUAGCCUGUUUGAAAAUUACCUUUGUAGACUCUUUCUUAAGUGAAAGAUGGUAUUAAGUGAAAAUACAUCACUGCACAAG